CCCCCCCCCCCCCCCCACUGUGACCCCGACACAGGUGCGCUAAAAAGAAAGAUCAAACACUAUAAAAGGAACUCGGCAACCACAGACCCCAACUGUUUAACAAAAACAUAACCUUUAGCCACAAAACCAGUAUUAAAGGCAACGCCUGCCCAGUGAAUAAUUAAACGGCCGCGGUACCCUAACCGUGCAAAGGUAGCAUAAUCAUUUGUCUAUUAAUUGUAGACCUGUAUGAAAGGCAAAAUGAGGGUCUAACUGUCUCUUAUAGUAAAUCAAUUAAACUGAUCUUCCAGUUCAAAAGCUGGAAUACAAACAUAAGACCAGAAGACCCUGUGAAGCUUAAAUUAGACUAUUAAAUCCUAUAAUAGCUCCUUUCGGUUGGGGCGACCUUGGAAAAAAAAAGAACUUCCAAACAGAUAUCCUACAGAUAUCCUACUUAGGCCGACAAGCCCGCAAUGACCCAGCAAAGCUGACAAUUGAACCAAGUUACUCCAGGGAUAACAGCGCUAUCUUCUUUAAGAGCCCAUAUCAAAAAGAAGGUUUACGACCUCGAUGUUGGAUCAGGACAUCCUAAUGGUGCAACCGCUAUUAAGGGUUCGUUUGUUCAACGAUUAAUAGUCCUACGUGAUCU
rnacentral:rRNA from 1 species